rnacentral:lncRNA from 1 species
UCUGGACUUGCUGUAAGUGUAGCAGACACCAACCCCACAAAGUGACAUAAUACAAGAAGGGCAAGGAUUCUCUGCCCAGGGAAAGCAGCAUUAUGAAGGAAGCAGAGUGGGUAUGGGGGGUAAGUCGACUCUGGCUAAAAGACUAAAACUAUAAAAAAGAUUGUGCUGAGGCUUGAGUUUGAGCUCAUGUGCAAAAUCCAAGGGAAUGCUAGCUAUUAAGAGAUGCAAGCAUUUUGAACUGGGAGGAGGUAAGAAGAGACAGGCAA